GAAGCCAACAAACCUCGAGAGGCAGCCAGCAGACUCCAAACGAUUCCCCACUGCUCUCCUCUCCCUGAUCGAUCUUGCCGCCGGCACAGUCCCUCCGCCGCCUCCCCCUCCCUCCCUCGCCGGACAUCAUCCACCGCUCCUCUAAUUCCUCACCGCAGCGCCGACCCGCCUCCUGGAUGAAUACACAACGGAAGAGGAUCCGCGUGGCUCCUGGUGGUGGCCGCCCGAGCAGCGGCGACAACAAGGGCGGCCAGACCGUGGCUCUCGCCGCCGCGCGCCGGACGCCGGCAGGGGGAUCGAUGGAGGAUGGCCUGGUGGUGGCCUGACCAGGAUGCUGCAGCCGGCGACCUUCUCCCCACACGCGCGCCGGCAACAUCCCUGGACCUGCUGCUCCAGACGCCAUCCACCUCUCCGUCCCGCUGCAGCCUCCAGUCCAGGAACGCUUGGACGGGCCUGACAAAGAUAAGAGCAAAGCCGCGGUGGACUAUUUGGUGUUUGGCUGAACUUUGCUGAGAGCAGCGCCUACGGCCUCGCCAUGCUCGUCCGCCUCCUCGGCCACGUCCUACCUCUCCGCCAUCCAGCUAUACAUAGCAACUAGCCUCACCAUCUGCAGGAGGUGCACGGGGAGCGAAACGGAUUCCUGGAGCAGCGUUGGCAGCGAGAGGUUUGUAGGGCCAGCAUACAAGUGUUGACUUGUCAUCGAAGCCUGAAUUUCCAGUACAUGGAGUGGGACUGACCUUAUGGCACAGUGCCCCUGUCUGUCUCAUAAGAUACCCGUGGCUGCGGUUUAUGGCUCGGCAUCGACAUCGCCGGUGGAUGCACCCCUGGAGCCAGGCUUCCACUUGUCUCUCGCGCCGAAAUAGACCGGUGGUGAUCUCUCUUGGCAGCGGAUGAGGGGCGCUGCUGGUGUGGCCAGAGAGAGCAAUGUCGUCCUCGCGUCCUGCUGCUUGUCAUCAACUAUGGCGAUGAGAGGUUCAAUUGUAGAGAAUACCACAUUGUCUUGCGCAAGGAUUUGACAAACACUGAUGUUGGAAAUAUCGGAAGAAUUGUGCUGCCAAAGAGGGAUGCGGAGGCUAACCUUCCAGCUUUGCUUGAACGGGAUGGCCUGAUACUAAAGAUGGAUGACUUCAAGCUUCCCGCUACAUGGAACUUUAAGUACAGGUUCUGGCCUAACAACAAGAGCAGAAUGUAUAUCAUUGAAAGUACUGGAGAAUUUGUGAAGUCCCAUAGUCUCGAGGCAGGAGACACACUCAUCAUCUACAAAAGCCUGGAGUCCUGAAAAUUUUUGCCAUGUGAUUUUGGGAUACAGAAGAAUUUCAGAAGAAUACUCACCAAGCCUCCCGAUUCGGUCGUCACCGCCUCAGCUAUGUCCCUGCAUGAUUUCCCUGGCCAACGUGGGGUGUCAGACAUUAGGAUGCGACGCCGGCGACACAAGUCACCUAGGGGAGAACCCACCGGCAGGCGCAGGCUUCUGGUGUCCGCAUCCUUCACCACCGCCAUGUUCCUCUCGCCGGUGGCCACGAAAUCCAGCGGGGGCGUGGCAGCACUCCGAGCGGUUAGAACUACUGCUCUCCGAUGUCGUCCACUCGCAGCAGUCUAUGAACUGACCAUAGCUACCUCGUCAGGGACGGCUCCCUCCAUGUCUGCAACACCAUACAGACACGCAGAGGGAUGUAUUGGUUCCUGCUCUUAAUGGCAGUGACCUGAUUGCAAGUUCAAAGACGGGAGCUGGAGAAGGCAGUCUUGGGUGAGGUUAUUUCCCUCGAGAUUUGGUUACAUUUGUACACAAUGGCAGUAGCAUUGGUUACAUUUUAAGUGUUACAAACAAGUAAAAUUUUGUUGGCCUAUCAAUUUGUGGAUAAGAGGAAUUUCAGAGGUUACAGGAUCUCAAAACAGCUUGGUGAAUGGUCCAUGAUACGCCCUGAAGCCUCGUUGGUCUCGGAGCAACCUAGACUCAAAAACCGCUUCUUUUUUUUAGAAGCCGAAGUAGGACUUGUCCGUCCGUGGACAACAUCUCGGAGCACUACACCCACAAGGUUCGAGCACCUUCUUCUGCUCCGGCCAGUCCCGCCGUCAUCAAGGUUGUUGAUUUUGGCCUUGCACAUGCACCCAGAACUGGUGCUAUCAAGUUUAAAGUCGUGAACACGGACAUACAAGGAACUCCAGGGUUCAUGGAUCCUGUUGGUAACCUAGGAGUGGACAGAGAAGAGUGACAUAUCCAGCUAUGGCAUGCUACUACUGGAUCUGGUCACCGAGCAAAGAGUGAUCCAUGACAAGAAGAUCCCGGUGGAGUGGAGAAGAGCGACAUAUACAACUACGGCAUGCUGCUACUGGAUAUGGUCACUGAGCGUAGAGCGAUCCAGGACAAGAAGAACCUGGUGGGGUGGGCGCGCAUGAGUACCUGUCCUCGUUCAGAGCCGAGCUGGGUUGACCUGGGGCUUUGGGGCUUGGUCGACUCGGGGUAGCUGCACUAGGCAGUUGGUGUCAUGAGGUGAUGCACCCAGUGGGAAGGGAGGUAGGUAUUGCCCAUCAGGCAAGUGUGGUGAAUGUUUUUGGCUAGACCCUCGGAACAGCAGCUAUGGUGACAGAAUGGACGGUAAACUCAUGUUGAUGUUCUGGAGGCCAUCCUUUGUCAACACCGUCUUCUUCACGGUGCCCACAACCCUGCUGCUGAAGACUAAUGCCUUCAGCUACUUCUGGUUGUCGUCUGCCUAAGAUCAUGCUUCUUCUAAGAGAUGACUGGCUCCUUUUCCAUCAGGAUUUUGCUUGUAUUUUGGGUCAAGAUCCAAAGACAUUUCCACCUCCAGUGAAACUAUGCAUGAAAUGGUCGAGGCCAUGUGUGGCACAGAAAGGAGGCGAGCCAUAUAUAUGUCGUGCAGCAGCGGCACGACAUACCCUCAAGCAGUAGCUUUUCAUCGGCAACAAGCAAGACACCCACUCAGGGCAUUUGACUUGGGCUUCUCCAUGCAUGGUGUGACCAGGUUGUCCAUCCAGGUAAACAAGGAGGAUGAGUUCAGCACGGGCCUUUAUCUGUGCUCAUGCUGAGUGUCAACAACAACACUCAAGUUUGUGAACUCUCUUGCUUGUACUGAGACUCUCAGACUUGGCAGCCAGCCUGGGUAUUAUUAUGCUACGUCCUAGAUGGAAGUUCAAGUCUCUGCAUGGCAGAGUUCCUUGUGUAAUACACUUGAUCCCCUUGUAUGGCAUUUUAGCUACAGGCAGAGACAACAAAUGUCAUGCACUCCCUCGCUGUCGCCUGGCUCUGGCGGUGUGGCUCCUGCCAUGUUGGCUGCGGUGGCCUAAUAUGUAUGCAGUAGGACUGUUUGGGAUUGGGAUUUUCCUGCAAUGUUCAGUAGUAAUAACAAUCUGAAUUUGUAUCAUAUUGUUGUAAGUAAUGUUCCAGAUGGCGAGAGUUAACUGUAAUAGGGGUGCAGUAGUAAUGGUCUGCUGGGAGUUGCAUCGCACUUAAUUGUGUAUGUCUUGACUUGCAUGGUUGAUCAUGCAUCUGAUGUAUUUUAAUAAAGGUCAAGCCGAAAACUAGAAUGAAAUAAUUAGCUUCUGCGUAGUUUAUGAUUUACUAGCUGAUUUGAAUUGCUGUGGUGCCGCAUUCUAGCCCAACUGGUGUAUGAA